rnacentral:rRNA from 1 species
UGGGGAAUAUUGCACAAUGGGCGCAAGCCUGAUGCAGCCAUGCCGCGUGUGUGAAGAAGGCCUUCGGGUUGUAAAGCACUUUCAGCGGGGAGGAAGGCGUUAAGGUUAAUAACCUUGGCGAUUGACGUUACCCGCAGAAGAAGCACCGGCUAACUCCGUGCCAGCAGCCUCGGUAAUACGGAGGGUGCAAGCGUUAAUCGGAAUUACUGGGCGUAAAGCGCACGCAGGCGGUCUGUCAAGUCGGAUGUGAAAUCCCCGGGCUCAACCUGGGAACUGCAUUCGAAACUGGCAGGCUAGAGUCUUGUAGAGGGGGGUAGAAUUCCAGGUGUAGCGGUGAAAUGCGUAGAGAUCUGGAGGAAUACCGGUGGCGAAGGCGGCCCACUAGACGAAGACUGACGCUCAGGUGCGAAAGCGUGAGGAGCAAGCAGG